GACGAACGCUGGCGGCGUGCUUAACACAUGCAAGUCGAACGGAAAGGCCCUGCUUUUGUGGGGUGCUCGAGUGGCGAACGGGUGAGUAACACGUGAGUAACCUGCCCUUGACUUUGGGAUAACUUCAGGAAACUGGGGCUAAUACCGGAUAGGAGCUCCUGCUGCAUGGUGGGGGUUGGAAAGUUUCGGCGGUUGGGGAUGACCUCGCGGCUUCUCAGCUUGUUGGGGGGGUAGUGGCUUACCAAGGCUUUGACGGGUAGCGGGCCUGAGCGGGUGACCAGCGACAUAGGGACUGAGGGACGGCAGAAACCCCGACGGGAGGCAGCAGGGGGGAAGAUUGAACAAGGGGCGGAAGCCUGAUGCAGAAACGCCGCGUGCGGGAAGACGCCCUUCGGGUUGUAGACCGCUUUCGCCUGUGACGAAGCGUGAGUGACGGUAAUGGGUAAAGAAGCACCGGCUAACUACGUG
rnacentral:rRNA from 1 species